CCCACCACUGCGAACCGGGCCCGCGCCGCGCCGCCGGCCCCCGCCAUGGCAGCCUCCGCUCCCGGCCCCACCUACGGCAAGCAGCAGUGCCUAAACUUCCUCUCCUCCCGCGGGGCCGCGGCGCGCGUGAGUCAUCCCGUGUGCACCCGCCCCGGAACGGCUCCUUCCCGCCGAUGUGGUGUUUAUGUAACGUGCGUGUCGUAUCUGCUGUGCAUCUCUGUACAAAAGAGAGGGAUCAAACACAUCUUGUGCACCCAUUCCGGGAUCGAGCCGCAAUCCAGUCCGAGCCUGUAACAGCACUGCUGGCCAGUUCUGGGGAGUGUGAGAAGGAAGCUGUGCGUGCAUCUUGUCUCUUAGUAAGACAACACCACUGUGGAGACAUACAAUCAUUCAAAUCCUGUAUUUGUAAUUUUACAAAGACUAUAGGCUGAGAGUUCAAUUACUGCUUAUGUCACAACCCAUAAUUUGUUAGGCAUUCUGUCAAGAUUCACUGCCUACUCCCAUUGGAAUGAGUCUUACCUUGCUGAGAGAAUUGUUGCAGCCUGGUGACCUGAGCCAGCUGCUGCAAUGAGUCUGGACAAGAGGACAAAACCCUCCUCUGAUUACCAGCCACUAUGAUGUGAAGGUUGAGGAAUCUGCUGCAGGUAGCUUGGCUUGUGAACUGCAGAUUGAGCCAGAGACAAGAGGCUGUGAGCUACCAACAUUUUGUUCAACAAAGGACAAGAAAAUGUGUGGUGCCAGCCACGUGGAUGGAUGCUGGGAGACAGACACAGAGGAGUCAAGAGGAAGACUUGCAUGUUGAUUGGGCUGUGAGAGGAUAAAAGCCCAGGAGACCUUUGGGGUCUCUCCUCAGAGGCACCAGCUUGAGCUGUUUCUGCAAUAUUGUGUUGUGAAGAAAUGGCUUUAUGGAACCAAAGACAACUGAGACUCUGCUAAGGGAAAUCUCAGCUUGAAUUGUCACCAAAUCCACUGAAAACUAGUUGAAUAAGACUCCUUAACAUCAAUUUAGUGUUAAGAAGGACAAUUUAUUCAGGCACUUGAUUACACUGGUGAUAACUGGUAACUGUGUAUGGCACAUGAUUUUACAAGUCUGUUAUACAGCCACUACAUGCAUGUUACAAUUUGGCCAUUAUCAUAAAACCCUCCCCAGGUUCCCAAACUCA